UACGUAGGGGGCAAGCGUUAUCCGGAUUUACUGGGUGUAAAGGGAGCGUAGACGGCGAUGCAAGUCUGAAGUGAAAGGCGGGGGCCCAACCCCCGGACUGCUUUGGAAACUGCAUGGCUGGAGUGCAGGAGAGGUAAGUGGAAUUCCUAGUGUAGCGGUGAAAUGCGUAGAUAUUAGGAGGAACACCAGUGGCGAAGGCGGCUUACUGGAUUGUAACUGACGUUGAGGCUCGAAAGCGUGGGGAGCAAACAGG
rnacentral:rRNA from 1 species